CCGGCGGCGGCGGCGGCGGCGCAGGUGUCCGGCCGGGCCGCCCCGGGAGGCGAUGAGCGGGCGCUGCCGAUGCCGCGGGCGGGGCCAUGGGCUGCAUCCAGAGCAUCGCCUGCAAGGCGCGCGUGCGGCGGGAGAACAUCGUGGUGUACGACGUGUCGGCCACCAUCGAGCCCAGCGCCACGGCCAUCGAGGAGAGCUCGCCCAUCGUGCUGCGCUACCGCACGCCCUACUUCCGCGCCGCCGCGCGCGUCCUCAUGCCUCCCAUCCCGCGCCGCCACACCUGGGUGGUGGGCUGGAUCCAGGCCUGCAACCACAUGGAGUUCUACAACACCUACAGCGACCUGGGCAUGUCAAGCUGGGAACUUCCUGACUUGCGAGAAGGGAGAGUAAAAGCCAUCAGUGACUCAGAUGGGGUGAGUUACCCCUGGUAUGGGAACACCACAGAAACAGUGACCUUGGUUGGGCCCACUAACAAGAUCUCCAGAUUUUCGGUCAGUAUGAAUGACAAUUUUUACCCCAGCGUGACGUGGGCUGUCCCGGUGAGUGACAGCAAUGUGCCACUGCUGACCAGAAUUAAGAGGGACCAGAGCUUUACCACGUGGCUAGUGGCAAUGAACACCACCACCAAGGAAAAAAUCAUCCUGCAGACUAUAAAAUGGAGGAUGCGAGUGGACAUUGAGGUUGAUCCCAUGCAACUCCUGGGGCAGCGAGCCCGGCUUGUGGGCAGGACUCAGCAGGAGCAGCCCAGGAUCCUGAGCAGAAUGGAACCCAUCCCGCCAAAUGCACUAGUGAAACCCAAUGCCAACGAUGCCCAAGUCCUCAUGUGGCGACCCAAGAGAGGCCAGCCUAUUGUCGGUAUUUUGGCUGGAAAAGAAGCUUUCUUACCAGAACAAUUCAUAUUCUCUUGCAGUAAAAUGCAAGGAGCAAGAAUAUGAUCAAACAGUGCCUGUGGCAAAUGCUGCUUCCCAACCAAUUUAGAUGUAGAAAUGGAGACCAUGCCUACCAAUGGCGUUUCUGUCUCCCUAGCUUUGGAUUUCCUAUGGCACCAUUGAAUUCAAGCUCUCUACAAUAAAAUGUGAAGCAAACAAGAACAUGUUGCAGGGGAGGCCCUUCAGCUCUGAAGGUAUCCAGAGCUAUGACAACAGACAGGUACACAAUUCAUAGGAUGUGCCCUAAGCAGAUAAAUUUCCUCUAAUCCAUUGCAAUCCUCCCCCAGCUUUUGUCCUCAAGGUGAAAAUCAUCCUACUUUCACAGCAUCUUAAGCUGAGCAGCAUUUAGAGAAGCAGAGCAAAGUUGUUGCUGUUGUGUGUGCAUGCAUGUGGAAGAGGGAGAAUUGAUAGCUUGUCUCAUCAGAACCUACUGGACAUGUAUAAGAGUGAGAUUGCAGUAGAACGCUUCAUGUUUCUCCAUUGCUGGAUGUUUUCUACUGCCUGCUAGUGCUACUCUACCUUUUACUUCAGGUUGUGUUUUUUUUAAUGCCUUUGGGGAAAAGCUCAUUUUCUUUUGAUUCCUCAGAGCUGCGUUCACAUUUGGAUCUCAGCUGGGCUUAGUUACUUGACAGCCAAAAACAAGCCAACUCAAAAUGGAACCGAGCUCUGUACAGUAGGAGUAGACAGGCCUCUAGCAUUGAAGAUAUUGAAAUCAGCAGGAAUUGGGUGCCAUAGUUAUUUUGGCCCUGAUCCAAUGCCGCUGAAGUCAAGUGGGAGUCUUGGCCUUGACUUCAAAGGGAUUGAUGCUUGCCUUGAGCAGUGACAUCGUGCCCAGAUACAGUGCCCUCAAGGCUUUCUGGUAUUAUGGUGAACCUCAAGGUCAGAUUGUGUGUCAUCAAGCCCCUAGAGAAGCAAUGUCCUGGUGUGAUGCCAUCCCAUAGGAAACAGUAGGCUGGAAGGUUUCCUAUUUGAAAUGCUUAUGGUUUCCUUCCCCGUUCCCAUUACUGUAGCCAGCAUCUUGUAUCUCAGGGAGGGACAGGGGAUCCAGGUCAUGGAAAAGUGCACCUACCUACGUUCUCCUAUUUCUGGGGUCCAGCCAACGUACAGGACCAUUCACUAGGGCCUCACACGUUGGACUACUUUUUUCCUUUGCUGCUUUUCAUUUUCACAGCUGUGCCUGUCGCUGAGUUCCACUGGCAGCAUGAAAUUACCACCCUGAAAGCAGCUCUUGAAGCAGUGCCAGCUGCCCAGAAGCAGGAAGCACCAUGAGCCUCACAAGAGAGCCUGUUCUUACUUGCUGUCUAGGCAAAUUGAUGUUGAGCCUGGAGUGAGAAUUUAAAACCAUUGCCAUUGAAAGCCACAUGCCUGCCUGAGACCAUUUAGAGCUGUGCUGUGGCAACUGUGCAUUGAAACCCUGCCGCCUGCCGCACACCCUUUAUGCCAAGGGUGUCAAACUCGUUGGGCCUCAUAGGCCAGAUCCAGAUCAUAAAGUGUCCUGCCAGCCAGAUAACCUGUGAGUGAUAGUGGUGGCAUUAAUCUCCUCACUGUUUUGGUGUGCCUCUGCUGCUUGCCCCUUCUUUUCCCCUGCUGCUGAUUUUAGUCACCAGGGAUGACUAAAAACCCCAACUGUGGCAGCACGCAAGGACUAGGGAGUAAGGGAGGCAAACAGUGUUAACUCCUGAGUUCUGAAGCUGUGGUGAAACAGCAAGGAUUAAUGCCACCACCACAAGGACUCUGGCAGCUCGUGGCAUUGAGUCCUAUAGGCCAUAUCUGGCCCACAGAGAUGUGUUGUCCAUCCCAUGAGAACCCUGAGGCCAGAUGAUGGAGUCUGCAGGCUGGAUCUAGUCCACAGGCUGUAUGUUUGACACCCCUGUUAUACUAUGGUUACCCUAGAGGAGUUUUCAUAAACAAUGUGCAUGUGUGUGUGCACACAUGUUCUGUAAUGCCUGUGUGUGUGCGUGCACGCGUCACACCCAAUGUAACACUGUUUUAGGAGUGGACUCACUGGGGGCGCAGGGAGCCUUCCUGCAACCAGAAUGGCAAUCAAAGCCACUCAAGGAGACUGUCCCAUGUAUGUGCAAGCUGUUUUAUGUACUUAUUUAUUUAUUGUACUUAUUUAUUGUAUUUAUUUAUUUAUUUAUUUGCAUUUUAUUUAAUGUUAUGUUUAUAAAAUGGAGGCCAUAGCAAACGCCUGUAGCCACUCUAAAUGGGCUUUUUUUUCUUUUCUUUUUUUGUGGGGGAGGUCCUCUUAAAAGGCCUGUUUGGGCUGCAUCAAGAGACUUGCACAGAGAGAAGUUUAAUUCCUGUACAUUGCUUGUUGUCGUAAGUUUGUAACCUACCUCCCAUAUUUCCUUCACAACAUCAUUUGAGGAGAAACGAACAAAAAAAAAAAAGAGUAGAUAUGCCAGUAUAAAUUGAUAUCGUCCUCCUCCUCCUUUGACCUCUUCUUUUUCUAGCAUGCUGAAAUUCCCUCCCCCUACACAUCACUUCCUUCCUCCCCUGACUAUUCUCAUCCUGUUCUCCAUGUCCUCCUAUUUGUUUAUCAGCCUGAUCUUCUUUUUUUAUUCUUCCUUGACUCACGCUGUAUUGGAUGUUGCCAAUUUCUGGAGAUGAUGUUAAAAGCAAGAGUGUGUGGGUGUCACUAUGGAGAGAAAAGGAAAGGGGUGGGGGGAAGAACUGGGUAUUUCUGCUGCCGCACAGGAAAGAUCAGAAGGAAGAGGAGAUGAAAGCUGGUUUUGCAGAGUGCCUUAAAAAAUGACUUUCACAACUAGGGGGUUCUGAUUCUUCUGUCCUUGGAUGUUGUUGAAAACUCAAACAAAUGUUGCAUUUCACUUCUCUGGGAUUAAAACAAAAACUGAGUAUGUA